rnacentral:rRNA from 1 species
UCGACGAUGAUCCCGCUUGCUGGGGGAUUAGUGGCGAACGGGUGAGUAACACGUGAGUAACCUGCCCUUAACUCUGGGAUAAGCCUGGGAAACUGGGUCUAAUACCGGAUAUGACUCCUCAUCGCAUGGUGGGGGGUGGAAAGCUUUAUUGUGGUUUUGGAUGGACUCGCGGCCUAUCAGCUUGUUGGUGAGGUAAUGGCUCACCAAGGCGACGACGGGUAGCCGGCCUGAGAGGGUGACCGGCCACACUGGGACUGAGACACGGCCCAGACUCCUACGGGAGGCAGCAGUGGGGAAUAUUGCACAAUGGGCGAAAGCCUGAUGCAGCGACGCCGCGUGAGGGAUGACGGCCUUCGGGUUGUAAACCUCUUUCAGUAGGGAAGAAGCGAAAGUGACGGUACCUUCAGAGGAAGCGCCGGCUAACUCCGUGCCAGCAGCCGCGGUAAUACGGAGGGCGCAAGCGUUAAUCGGAAUUACUGGGCGUAAAGCGUGCGCAGGCGGAUUGUUAAGCAAGACGUGAAAUCCCCGGGCUUAACCUGGGAAUGGCGUUUUGAACUGGCAGUCUAGAGUGCGUCAGAGGGGGGUGGAAUUCCACGUGUAGCAGUGAAAUGCGUAGAGAUGUGGAGGAACACCGAUGGCGAAGGCAGGUCUCUGGGCAUUAACUGACGCUGAGGAGCGAAAGCAUGGGGAGCGAACAGGAUUAGAUACCCUGGUAGUCCAUGCCGUAAACGUUGGGCACUAGGUGUGGGGGACAUUCCACGUUUUCCGCGCCGUAGCUAACGCAUUAAGUG